rnacentral:rRNA from 1 species
GAUGAACGCUGGCGGCGUGCUUAACACAUGCAAGUCGAACGGGACACCUUUUAUUGAAGCUUCGGCAGAUUUAGCUGGUUUCUAGUGGCGGACGGGUGAGUAACGCGUGGGUAACCUGCCCUAUACAGGGGGAUAACAACCAGAAAUGGUUGCUAAUACCGCAUAAGCGCACAGGGCCGCAUGGUCCGGUGUGAAAAACUCCGGUGGUAUAGGAUGGACCCGCGUUGGAUUAGCCAGUUGGCAGGGUAACGGCCUACCAAAGCGACGAUCCAUAGCCGGCCUGAGAGGGUGAACGGCCACAUUGGGACUGAGACACGGCCCAGACUCCUACGGGAAGCAGCAGUGGGGAAUAUUGCACAAUGGGGGAAACCCUGAUGCAGCGACGCCGCGUGAAGGAAGAAGUAUCUCGGUAUGUAAACUUCUAUCAGCAGGGAAGAUAGUGACGGUACCUGACUAAGAAGCCCCGGCUAACUACGUG